CGGCAACAGCUCAAAUUUGAAAUCUGGCCCUCGGGUCCGAAUUGUAAUUUGUAGAGGAUGAUUUUGGUGCGGUAUCUUCCGAGUUCCUUGGAACAGGACGCCUUAGAGGGUGAGAGCCCCGUACGGUUGAAUGCCUAGCCUCUGUAAAUCUCCUUCGAC
rnacentral:rRNA from 1 species